CGAAUGGGAACGCCGCUUCUAUGGAGUAACCUCUAUGGCCAGGGGCCGCACCACGUGAUGUUGUUAUCUAAACAUUCCUCAACAAUCCGACGGUCCCGCUGAUUUCACCCCCGAUGCCACUCAGCUGUGCAGACUUGCUGUGGCUACGUGAAAAACACGCGCUCGGGUCCACCCACAGAACCACGCAGGUCCAGAAGCCCGUUUAUUUCCCAGGUUCUUCUUACCAUCCAGGGUUGAGGCGCGAGAGUAUUACUACAGUUUCAUUACAGUAUUACUAAAGGAAAGGCGCCCGUAAGAACAUUGUACUUUUGUUUUUAUUCUGCUUGCAUAGUGCAUUAUCCCAGGAACAAUCGUGUUUAAUAAAAGCCCGUUUAGUUUUUGUAUCGAUUAUCAUACGACCAUUAACCAUCAAGUAUACGUUUAAAAGCACAAAUCCAGUAGGUGAAAGGCAGCUCAGCUCCUUUUUUUAUUCGUCCCCUGAUAACGUUGCUUCACCACAAGGUGGCGAUGUUGUCAACACUAACAUUCUAACGGAGUUUUGUUGUUUUUCUCAGACGGAUUUGAUACAUUGAAAUGAUGAGUGAAAAACAAAACACAGGAAAAAUAAACACAGGUAGUGUUUUUUCUGUUAAAAAACUGUAGCCCUUUUUAUUUGGAAACGUACAUACAGUCAAACUGAUGAGAACUCAUGCUACACGCAGUUGCUUUCUUGUGUACCUCUGCUACAUAUUUCUUUUUUUUUUACUAGGAAAAAAAAAGCUAACACAGCCAUCUGCCCUGAUUGAGCAGAUCAACACUACAUCUUGGAGAGAAACAUGAGCUUGUGUUCACACAUGCCAGUAGAAUCUAUGACAUUCAUUCCACUCAGCUGGUCGUUACAGCGCCAGAAAACCAUGUAUUACAAAAAUGAAACACGAUAUCACAUUUUCACAUCAGUGCAAUUAAACCCUGACCUGUUGGCUCUACCAACAAAAGCAUGCAAGUCAAUGAGUCGGAAUCACUUCUAUGUACAAAAGGCCUGCUUACUUCCAGUGCAGCCAUAUUCACAAAGUAGCUAGCGAGGCCUAAUCAGAUGAGAAAGCAACCGUUUACCUCACAACAUGAGCGAUUAGAUACUGUCCUGAUACUGGUACGAAAGCUGUGCUGUGCUCCCUGUGUGUCUGGGACACACACACACACACACACACACGCGUAGAAGUCACCGGGAUCCCAUUUCUUAUUUGUGUAGGAUCUGAGCUCAAGUGGAUUACAUCUGCUGUAUGUGAGGCAUUUUAAUAUAAUACGGUAGUACAAAUAUUCUGUCAGGACAUCCUGGUGGGAUUUUAUUGCUCCUCCAUAAUCCAAACAUUAAACAUCUGCCUCUUA